GAGCCAAAGCAAAGGCUCUGGGAGGGCCUUUAAUGGUUUUUCAGAGCAGGGCUGUCUGGAAACUCCCACUGCAGGGGCAGCUGUGAGGGAACCAGUCCAGAAAUGCAGCAACUGAUCAUUUUGUUCCUCUUGGUAAGUGUCUGAGAGAGCCCCAGCACUACUGCAAAUCCCACACCACUCUGCUCAGCAACCUGACUUGGACCCUCCUCGUUGAACAAAACCUGCAGCCUUCUGAAAUCUCAUGGAAAGAAUGCUUUGGCUCAGGCUGUGGCCAUCAGAUAAGAGGUGUCCCAAAAGCUCCUCCAUCCCUGCCCUCCUCACCUGAGGGUUUGCAGGAAUUAAGGGAUAAAGACACCAGAGAUGCCGCUGUGGCCCCGAGACCUGCCUGGGGUCAGGCGCCGCCUUCCUUCCAUCUGGGAUCAUGGAAUGUUCCCACUUUCCUUGGAAGAUAUUUCUCACUGAAAUGAAUUGCCAAAUCCUGAGUUUCAGUGUGGAUGAGACAGAUACGCCAAGAGAAGACAGGGUCAGGGACUUGGCCACCUCAUGCUUUGCCUUUUAAGCCAGCUGGGCCAACAAGUGCCCUCUCCCCAGCUGGCACUUCUGCUCACCUGGCCACUCAGGAGCUGGCUUUGGCAGAGUGCCACACACUCCCCAGUGUGCCAUGGCUCGCAGACUGAUGGACAGUCGAGGCCCUGUCUCACCCCUGGCACACAUAGCUGUUCCAAAAUGUCUCCAGACAUCACACUUUUCCAGUCUCUGACACCCUGCCCUGAGCCAUGGCCUGAUCCCGACUGCCCUGGCAAAGGGGGAGGCUCUGGAACCCCCACAGGGCCUUUGUGACAUCCUUGUGUGGGGAUCACGGCAGAGGAGGGGUUUGGUACAGGGGACAAGAGAAUCCAGAACCUCCUGAAGGCUGCUUUGGCCAUCAGAGCAAGGAAGGCCCAGAGCCCUGCCAGGUUCCUUUGGUGGAGGAAACAUGCUGGGGGAAAUGUCUGGGGUUUGUUCUUUUUUGGUGGCUUUCCCUGGAAAUAGUUCCUUCUGUGGUAAUUUAGACUCUGAAUAUUUUUGA